AUCCUUUGGGUUUUCUAAGUGUGAUGAUUGGGUUUUCAUGCUCCUGUGUGAGAUGUGUUGCCUCAGAUUUUGUUAUGAUGUCAGCACAUUAUCCAUCUGACA